GCCCGGGUGGUGAAAUUGGUAGACACAACGGACUUAAAAUCCGUCGGGGAGAAAUCCCCGUACCGGUUCAAGUCCGGUCCCGGGCACCA
rnacentral:tRNA from 1 species